rnacentral:sRNA from 1 species
CACCAGCCGGGAGCGCAGGGGCGCCGCC